CCUUCCAGCGAUCAGUUUAGCCCCUGCAUUACCACAAUCAUGCCGAUCAACGCCGAGACUGUUAAUCUUGCUGCUACGUACAUGAUCCUAGUGAUCCUGUUAUUCUUCUUGUGGUUGCUGUACUCAGCUGUCUUCUAAUUCACAUCUGUCGACUGGGCGUGGCGUGUGGGCGGUCGCGACACUUUGGUGUCAGAAUCAGUUUUCUGGAGUGUCCUGUCCAGUGAGCACCGUCCAACCAUGCCGAACCACGAGACAACGAGCCUAAUCGCAACUUACCUUAUCCUGGUACUUCUACUCGCCAGUCUCUGGCUUUUGUACUCCGGAAUGUUCUGAGAUAAUGGUCGGGAAGAUGCAACAAAAAGACCAAUGGAGGAAGAAGAAAAUACUAUAUUAAGUUAACUUUAAGAAACCGUAAUGUUAGAUUAAGUUAAGACCCUAAGCAUUUACGAUCAACGACACCGGGCUAAAAUAAUCAACAAUUAUUCAGUGCUGGGCAUUCCAAUAAAAGAAUUAUAAACACACAAAUCAGAACGAUGUGCCAUUUUUUUCAUUCUGUGAAGGUUAUUAUCGUUAUUGUUAAGAACUAAGAGAUUUGUAAUUAAAUUUUGUAUUUA